UGUGUAGGCGGCAUGUUAAGUCAAUUGUUAAAUUCCUCAGCCUAACUGAGGGUCAGCGGUUGAUACUGGCAUGCUUGGGGAUGGAAGAGAGAAGUGGAAUUCUCGGAGUAGCGGUAAAAUGCGUAGAUCUCGAGAGGAACACCGAUGGCGAAAGCAGCUUCUUGGUCCAUUUCUGACGCUGAGGCACGAAAGCGUGGGGAGCAAACAGGAUUAGAUACCCUGGUAGUCC
rnacentral:rRNA from 1 species